UAACUAUAAUUAUAUAUAUUAUUGAAAAAGAAGGUACAAAUUAAGCUGAACACCUUUUGGAGUUGGGACCAAACUCUGGGACACUACAAGUUGCUGCCAUCGCCAUCCUUUGAAAUUUCUUGCCAUUCAAAGAUUUCUGAUUUGGCUCUUUCCAUAAUGUUUUUUUGUUAGAGUUGUGUGAUACAAAUUUCUGUUAAAAAAAAUGACUAGAUAAGAAGAUAUGUGGGAGCGAAGGUCAAGGGCCGAAUAAAACUACACUUCUUCUAUUUGAUAUUAAUUUGAACAAGGUGUUUCAACAUGACUGCAUUGCUUCUAUUAGACUUUGAUUAUAAUAAAGACUAGUUUUCUCUCUCCUCUUAUAUCAUUCGAAUUCAACAGUUAGUGAAUUUUUCUUCUACUCUACUCGUGAUUUUCCCCGAAAGGGUUUCUACGUAAAAUAUAUGUAUUCUAUUUUUCUCUUUUUCUUUGCGAUUCAUUGUCGUUAUCGACGUUUGAUUUUAACACUCUUGAUUUAUAGGAAUAAUCUCAUGAAAUUAAUUAAUCUUUAACCCAAUCAAUUAUAAAAAUUUAAAGUUUAAGGGUAAAGUAUACAAAUGGUCAUCCAAUUAUAUCUGCGUUCCUAUUUUGGUCAUUCAACUUUAAAAUAUUACAAUUUAGACAUUAACAUUUGAUUUCAUUCUUAUUUUGGUCACUUGCCAAGGGAAAGUCUUUUUCGAACUGGUAUAUUAAUAUGUUUAGUCCUGAAUACUUAUAUAUUCUAUUAGUUUGGUUCUAAUUCUAAAUAAUUCAAUAAAUUUAAAUCUUCGCAUUUACAAAUUCUAUCAAUUUAAUCUUCAAAUUUUCUAAUAAAAACUUUCAAUUCUUAAAAUAUACGCAUUAAUAGUGAUAAUGUUAUAUUAAGUUUAAUAAUUAACAAUGUUAUCUGUGUGACUUUGCAAUUAAAAGUUAAAACAUUUCAAAAACCUAAUUAUAUUAAUGAAAUUUAUAGGAAAUAAAAACAGUUUUGUAUUUCUCUAAAAAAAACCUUGUAUUCAGAGAAUUUUAUAUAAGACUGAUGAAGAAAAAAAGGGGCAGUUUAAAAAUAGUUGUAAAUUUAUUAGUUUAUUAACUAGGAAAAGAUUUGUACAACAACUUCAAAUAUUAAAAAGAUAUUAUGAAUGUGAUAUUUAAAACAAAAAUAUUUUGCAUUUCUUUUAAACAAUUGAUUAGUAAAUAUUAAUAAAUCCAUUCAAAAUGUUUUAAUUAAAGUAUGAAAGUUUUAUUAAUAAGUUUUUCCUUAAAUAAAUGUCUUUUUAAAUUUAACAUUAUUAAAUUGUAAACCUAUAAAGACAAAUUUUGAGAUAACGCGUUAAUUUUUUUUAAAAAAUUAAUAUAGCUUUUUUUUCAUUGAUGCUUUAAAUAGUAAAAAAAAUAUUUCGAAAUUAAGAAACUAAUUUAAAAUUGCAAUAAAAUUAAGGAAAAAGAAAUAAUGAAAAUAGAAGAUAGCUAGGCAAUGGGAUGCGCAGAGAGGGGCAGUCCCAUUGUUUGAGGGAGAAAUGAAAUUGAAAUCACGGCAAAGCUAAGAAAAAAGAGUCAGUGGGCAACAUCACAACACGUUUGGUUCGCUGUAUUGGAUUAGAGGUGUAAUAGAAAAGCUGUGUAAUAGCAAAUCAACUGUUUGGUUGAAUGUAAUGGAAUAGAGGCGUAAUAGUAAUCCUGUGUUUGGUUGAGUGUAAUGGAUCCUUACCUUGCCCCCAAAUGUCCACUCCUUCCCCUUCCUCCCCUACCUAUCUCACCAACUUAGGCCUCGGCUAUUCCAUUGCCAUCGCCGUCGGUUUCCU
rnacentral:lncRNA from 1 species